GAUGAACGCUGGCGGCGUGCUUAACACAUGCAAGUCGAACGAAGAUGCCGGAGUGCUUGCACUUUGGCAGACUGAGUGGCGACGGGUGAGUAACGCGUGGGUAACCUGCCUUAUACAGGGGGAUAACAGUUGGAAACGACUGCUAAUACCGCAUAAGCGCACAGUACCGCAUGGUACAGUGUGAAAAACUCCGGUGGUGUGAGAUGGACCCGCGUCUGAUUAGCUAGUUGGCAGGGCAACGGCCUACCAAGGCGACGAUCGGUAGCCGGACUGAGAGGUUGAACGGCCACAUUGGGACUGAGACACGGCCCAGACUCCUACGGGAGGCAGCAGUGGGGAAUAUUGCACAAUGGGGGAAACCCUGAUGCAGCGACGCCGCGUGGAGGAAGAAGGUCUUCGGAUUGUAAACUCCUGUUGUUGAGGAAGAUAAUGACGGUACUCAACAAGGAAGUGACGGCUAACUACGUG
rnacentral:rRNA from 1 species